UAGGGAAUCUUCGGCAAUGGGGGGAACCCUGACCGAGCAACGCCGCGUGAGUGAAGAAGGUUUUCGGAUCGUAAAGCUCUGUUGUUAAGGAAGAACGAGUGUGAGAAUGGAAAGUUCAUGCUGUGACGGUACUUAACCAGAAAGGGACGGCUAACUACGUGCCAGCAGCCGCGGUAAUACGUAGGUCCCGAGCGUUGUCCGGAUUUAUUGGGCGUAAAGCGAGCGCAGGCGGUUAGAAAAGUCUGAAGUGAAAGGCAGUGGCUCAACCAUUGUAGGCUUUGGAAACUGUUUAACUUGAGUGCAGAAGGGGAGAGUGGAAUUCCAUGUGUAGCGGUGAAAUGCGUAGAUAUAUGGAGGAACACCGGUGGCGAAAGCGGCUCUCUGGGCUGUAACUGACGCUGAGGCUCGAAAGCGUGGGGGGCGAACAGG
rnacentral:rRNA from 1 species